rnacentral:rRNA from 1 species
UACGUAGGGCGCAAGCGUUGUCCGGAAUUAUUGGGCGUAAAGAGCUCGUAGGCGGCUUGUCGCGUCGGUUGUGAAAGCCCGGGGCUUAACCCCGGGUCUGCAGUCGAUACGGGCAGGCUAGAGUUCGGUAGGGGAGAUCGGAAUUCCUGGUGUAGCGGUGAAAUGACGCAGAUAUCAGGAGGAACACCGGUGGCGAAGGCGGAUCUCUGGGCCGAUACUGACGCUGAGGCACGAAGGCCAGGGGAGCAAACGGG